rnacentral:SRP_RNA from 1 species
GCCGGGCGAGGUGGCGGGCGCCUGUAGUCCCAGCUACUCGGGAGGCUGAGGCAGGAGAAUGGCGUGAACCCGGGAGGCGGAGGUUGCAGUGAGCCAAGAUGGCACCACUGAACUCCAGCCUGGGCAACAGAGCGUAACUGUGUCNNNNNNNNNNCACAGUUACGCUCUGUCGCCCAGGCUGGAGUUCAGUGGUGCCAUCUUGGCUCACUGCAACCUCUGCCUCCCGGGUUCAAGUGAUUCUCAUGCCUCAG